rnacentral:hammerhead_ribozyme from 1 species
AUCCAGCUGACGAGUCCCAAAUAGAACGGAACGCGUUUACUGGAU